UACAGAGGUCCCAAGCGUUGUUCGGAUUCACUGGGCGUAAAGGGUGCGUAGGUGGCAUGUUAAGUUUGAUGUGAAAGCUCAGGGCUCAACCCUGAAAUGGCAUUGAAUACUAGCGUGCUGGAGGUUUGGAGGGGGGACUGGAAUUCAUGGUGUAGCAGUGAAAUGCGUAGAGAUCAUGAGGAAGACCAGUGGCGAGGGCGGGUCUCUGGACAGUUCCUGACACUGAGACACGAAGGCCAGGGGAGCAAACGGG
rnacentral:rRNA from 1 species